GGGCAAGUAAUUCAACCUGGUAGAAUGCUCGGCUGGCAGUCGAGUUGCUGUGGGUUCAAAUCCCGCCUUGUCCA
rnacentral:tRNA from 1 species